rnacentral:miRNA from 1 species
UCACCUGGGAAUCGUGUUAAAUGCAGAUUCUGAUUCAUUAGAUUUGGAGUAGCAUCUGAAAUUCUGCAUUUCUAACAAACUCCCAGGUGAUGCCAGU